rnacentral:tRNA from 1 species
GAGCUCGUAUCUCAGUGGAUUAGAGUUUAUGGCUACGGACCAUAAUGUCGGGGGUUCGAAUCCCUCCGAGCUCA